ACGUAGGGGGCAAGCGUUGUCCGGAUUUAUUGGGCGUAAAGAGCUCGUAGGCGGCCGUUCACGUCGGAUGUGAAAGCUCAGGGCUCAACCCUGAGAUGCCAUUCGAUACGGGACGGCUAGAGGCAGGUAGGGGAGAUUGGAAUUCCUGGUGUAGCGGUGAAAUGCGCAGAUAUCAGGAGGAACACCGGUGGCGAAGGCGGAUCUCUGGGCCUUGCCUGACGCUGAGGAGCGAAAGCUGGGGUAGCGAACAGGA
rnacentral:rRNA from 1 species